rnacentral:rRNA from 1 species
GACGAAGGGGGCUAGCGUUGUUCGGAAUUACUGGGCGUAAAGCGCGUGUAGGCGGGUUGCCAAGUCCGCUGUGAAAGCCCGAGGCUCAACCUCGGAGGGUCGGUGGAUACUGGCAGUCUUGAAGGUGCUAGGGGGAGAUGGAAUUACCGGUGUAGCGGUGAAAUGCGUAGAGAUCGGUAGGAACACCAGUGGCGAAGGCGGUCUCCUGGGGCAUUCUUGACGCUGAGACGCGAAAGCUGGGGGGAGCGAACGGG